CGUAGGGUGCGAGCGUUAAUCGGAUUACUGGGCGUAAAGCGUGCGCAGGCGGUUUAGUAAGACAGGCGUGAAAUCCCCGGGCUCAACCUGGGAACUGCGCUUGUGACUGCUAAGCUAGAGUACGGCAGAGGGGGGUGGAAUUCCACGUGUAGCAGUGAAAUGCGUAGAGAUGUGGAGGAACACCAAUGGCGAAGGCAGCCCCCUGGGUCGAUACUGACGCUCAUGCACGAAAGCGUGGGUAGCAAACAGGAUUAGAUACCCUGGUAGUCCACGCCCUAAACGAUGUCAACUAGGUGUUGGGAGGGUAAAACCUUUUAGUACCGGAGCUAACGCGUGAAGUUGACCGCCUGGGGAGUACGGCCGCAAGGUUA
rnacentral:rRNA from 1 species